rnacentral:rRNA from 1 species
UACGUAGGGGGCAAGCGUUAUCCGGAUUUACUGGGUGUAAAGGGAGCGUAGACGGCGGUGCAAGCCAGAUGUGAAAACCCAGGGCUCAACCCUGGGACUGCAUUUGAAACUGCCAUACUGGAGUGCCGGAGAGGUAAGUGGAAUUCCUAGUGUAGCGGUGAAAUGCGUAGAUAUUAGGAGGAACACCAGUGGCGAAGGCGGCUUACUGGACGGUAACUGACGCUGAGGCUCGAAAGCGUGGGGAGCAAACAGG